rnacentral:rRNA from 1 species
GAAAGGCUUAUCAAUUCUAAAGUUAUCUGGAGUAAUUUGAAAUGUAUUUAGUACAGUAAUAAAGUUUGAAUAAAAAAAUGUUGAGGUUUUUUUAUUAUUAGAAUAUUAAUUUUAUUUUAUUUUAUGAAUUAACAUUCUAAUAAAAAUUUUUAUUAAUUAUGUUUUAUUUUUUUUAUCUAUUUUAUAAAAUUAUAUAUUAAAAAUUUUUCUAAAGUUUAAUUAUGUUAAAAUUAGUAUAAAACCUUGUUUUUUUAUAAGGAACUCGGCAAAUAUAUUAUUCAUCUGUUUAUCAAAAACAUAGUCUUAUGUAAUUUAUAUAAGGUACUACCUGCCCAUUGAAUUUUUUUUUAACGGCCGCAGUACUUUGACUGUGCUAAGGUAGCAUAAUAAAUUGACUUUUAAUUGGGGCCUUGAAUGAAAGGAUAAAUGAAUAAUUUCUGUCUUAUAAAAAUUUAUUAUAAUUUACUUAAAAGGUGAAAAUUCCUUUAAUUAAUUAAAUAGACGAGAAGACCCUAGGAGUUUUAAAUUUUGUUGGGGCGACAAUAUAGCAUUUUAAGUAACCUAUAUAGUAUUAAAAAUAUACAACGAAUAAUUUUAAUAAUAAUUAACUACCCUAGGGAUAACAGCAUAAUUUUUGAAAAAGUUUGUGACCUCGAUGUUGGA